GCAACCAUAAAAAUCUCUCACUGAUCUAGGAUAGGUGAGCAAAUCCAAGGAGCAGAUAAAUUUUCAGCCCAUCAGUAGAUAUUCUUAGUGUCCAAGCUAAUCUUAUAUCAUCCAACACAAUACGAACACCUCAAACUUCUGAAUCUAAAGUUUCAACCUCGAGCUUUAUGUUUCUAAAUAAUUCUUGAACUGAGUUUGGAU
rnacentral:lncRNA from 1 species